rnacentral:rRNA from 1 species
UACGGGGGGGGUAAGCGUUGUUCGGAAUUACUGGGCGUAAAGGGCUCGUAGGCGGCCAACUAAGUCGGACGUGAAAUCCCUCAGCUUAACUGGGGAACUGCGUCCGAUACUGGAUGGCUUGGAUUUGGGAGAGGGAUGCGGAAUUCCAGGUGUAGCGGUGAAAUGCGUAGAUAUCUGGAGGAACACCGGUGGCGAAGGCAAUCCCCUGGGCCUGCACUGACGCUCAUGCACGAAAGCGUGGGGAGCAAACAGG